AUCCAUUUUAAAAUCUAGAAAACUACACCACAGAAUAGGGAAGCAAUGCUUCUAUCAUAUUCAUUUUUACUACAAUGAUCUUUCUGAAUGUAAUAAUAUUUUACUAAAAUAUACAUCCAAAAUAUACCACGUGAAUAUCUAAGAAAAUGAACUUAAUGUUCUUUUCCGCCCUUCAGAAGGCCAAUUUCCAUUUCACCAAACAUGAGUUCAAACUCUUUCUCACAACAAGACAAACUAAAAGAAAUAAACUUCAAGACAAACAGACCUAGGUGACAAUAUCAGAAAUUGAGCAUAUUCAAACAUAAAAUAUCACUCUAGAUUACCUAAAUCAGUAAGAGAAAGAGAAGAGAUAUGGACCUCAAACGAUUGGAAUCUUGAUAUGGAUCACCAAAUAGGAAUGCCUUGGCUUUCUUGGAAAAAUCAGUUAAGAAUUUCUAUUGAAUCUACUGAUGCCUUUCAUUAUUUCUACUAAGCAGCUUCAAAAGAAGCUAUCAAUUGUCGACAAAUUACAAAGGUUACAACAGAUGGAAAGCGCAGCUACGAGAAAACUCGAACAGUGAUCGAAAUCGAACAGAACCAACAUAGCACACCUCGAACGGACUUCGACCAAGGAGCAAUAGAAACAGACGCUGAACUCAGUCAUCCAAACUCAAUUGGAAAACUUGAAACUCGCUGGAAAAGGACUCUAAAUGAGCUUUUGGACUCUUACUACUUUUAACUUUUAUUAUUUCAUUUUCUUUGUUGUUCUCGAUUUGUUUUUCAUUUUGGACUGAAGGUCGUCGGCUGGUCUAGGUCUGUUUUUGCAUGUUGGGUUUCAAGACGAAGGUCUUUUUUGGUUGUUCAUGGAGCUUGGGAUUUUGGAGUUGAAGAUGACUGUUGUGUUAUCUGUAGAGGAAGGAUGGUCAUUAUUUUCUUUGCCUAAGAAGAAGCCAUGGAAACGGCUGCUUCUUCUCUGAAGAAGAAGAUAUUUCGAUGGGGGAGGGGUCGUGUUGACGAAGACGAUGACAAGAAGGGGGUGGGUUCUCUGUCCAUUCAGCAUUGAUUACCAGUCGCCUAUGUAUAGGUCUAGGUCUAAUGUGUAUUUUACCAAUUAAUUCCUAGGUCUUUUUGUUUUAAGUCCUUAGAAUCUUUUUAUUUAUUUUUUGUUCUAAAGAAGAGUAUAGAAGGGUCCCUAGGAUUAGCUUAAUGAGUAUUGGAUACUGAGCUUAAGGAAUGGGCUAGAAACUUGCUC
rnacentral:lncRNA from 1 species